rnacentral:rRNA from 1 species
GGGGGGAGCAAGCGUUGUUCGGAUUUACUGGGCGUAAAGGGCGCGUAGGCGGCCACCGCAAGUCGACUGUGAAAUCUCUGGGCUUAACCCAGAACGGUCAGCCGAUACUGCGGGGCUAGAGUGCAGAAGGGGCAACUGGAAUUCUCGGUGUAGCGGUGAAAUGCGUAGAUAUCGAGAGGAACACCUGCGGCGAAGGCGGGUUGCUGGGCUGACACUGACGCUGAGGCGCGAAAGCUAGGGGAGCGAACGGGAUUAGAUACCCCGGUAGUCCUAGCCUUAAACGAUGAAUGCUUGGUGUCUGGGGUUUUAUAGUCCCGGGUGCCGUCGCUAACGCUUUAAGCAUUCCGCCUGGGGAGUACGGUCGCAAGACUG